rnacentral:rRNA from 1 species
GGUUAAGCGACUAAGCGUACACGGUGGAUGCCCUGGCAGUCAGAGGCGAUGAAGGACGUGCUAAUCUGCGAAAAGCGUCGGUAAGGUGAUAUGAACCGUUAUAGCCGGCGAUGUCCGAAUGGGGAAACCCAGUGCAAUUCGUUGCACUAUCGUUAACUGAAUACAUAGGUUAACGAGGCGAACCGGGGGAACUGAAACAUCUAAGUACCCCGAGGAAAAGAAAUCAACCGAGAUUCCCCCAGUAGCGGCGAGCGAACGGGGAGCAGCCCAGAGUCUGAAUCAGCUUGUGUGUUAGUGGAACGGUCUGGAAAGUCCGACGGUACAGGGUGAUAGUCCCGUACACCAAAAUGCACAGGCUGUGAACUCGAAGAGUAGGGCGGGACACGUGGUAUCCUGUCUGAAUAUGGGGGGACCAUCCUCCAAGGCUAAAUACUCCUGACUGACCGAUAGUGAACCAGUACCGUGAGGGAAAGGCGAAAAGAACCCCGGCGAGGGGAGUGAAAAAGAACCUGAAACCGUGUACGUACAAGCAGUGGGAGCACCUUCGGGUGUGACUGCGUACCUUUUGUAUAAUGGGUCAGCGACUUAUAUUCUGUAGCAAGGUUAACCGUAUAGGGGAGCCGCAGGGAAACCGAGUCUUAACUGGGCGUUAAGUUGCAGGGUAUAGACCCGAAACCCGGUGAUCUAGCCAUGGGCAGGUUGAAGGUUGGGUAACACUAACUGGAGGACCGAACCGACUAAUGUUGAAAAAUUAGCGGAUGACUUGUGGCUGGGGGUGAAAGGCCAAUCAAACCGGGAGAUAGCUGGUUCUCCCCGAAAGCUAUUUAGGUAGCGCCUCGUGAACUCAUCUUCGGGGGUAGAGCACUGUUUCGGCUAGGGGGUCAUCCCGACUUACCAACCCGAUGCAAACUACGAAUACCGAAGAAUGUUAUCACGGGAGACACACGGCGGGUGCUAACGUCCGUCGUGAAGAGGGAAACAACCCAGACCGCCAGCUAAGGUCCCAAAGUCAUGGUUAAGUGGGAAACGAUGUGGGAAGGCACAGACAGCCAGGAUGUUGGCUUAGAAGCAGCCAUCAUUUAAAGAAAGCGUAAUAGCUCACUGGUCGAGUCGGCCUGCGCGGAAGAUGUAACGGGGCUAAACCAUGCACCGAAGCUGCGGCAGCGACACUAUGUGUUGUUGGGUAGGGGAGCGUUCUGUAAGCCUGCGAAGGUGACCUGUGAGGGUUGCUGGAGGUAUCAGAAGUGCGAAUGCUGACAUAAGUAACGAUAAAGCGGGUGAAAAGCCCGCUCGCCGGAAGACCAAGGGUUCCUGUCCAACGUUAAUCGGGGCAGGGUGAGUCGACCCCUAAGGCGAGGCCGAAAGGCGUAGUCGAUGGGAAACAGGUUAAUAUUCCUGUACUUGGUGUUACUGCGAAGGGGGGACGGAGAAGGCUAUGUUAGCCGGGCGACGGUUGUCCCGGUUUAAGCAUGUAGGCUGGUUAUCCAGGCAAAUCCGGAUAAUCAAGGCUGAGGUGUGAUGACGAGGCACUACGGUGCUGAAGUAACAAAUGCCCUGCUUCCAGGAAAAGCCUCUAAGCAUCAGGUAACAUCAAAUCGUACCCCAAACCGACACAGGUGGUCAGGUAGAGAAUACCAAGGCGCUUGAGAGAACUCGGGUGAAGGAACUAGGCAAAAUGGUGCCGUAACUUCGGGAGAAGGCACGCUGGUGUGUAGGUGAAGUCCCUGCGGAUGGAGCUGAGACCAGUCGAAGAUACCAGCUGGCUGCAACUGUUUAUUAAAAACACAGCACUGUGCAAACACGAAAGUGGACGUAUACGGUGUGACGCCUGCCCGGUGCCGGAAGGUUAAUUGAUGGGGUUAUCCGUAAGGAGAAGCUCUUGAUCGAAGCCCCGGUAAACGGCGGCCGUAACUAUAACGGUCCUAAGGUAGCGAAAUUCCUUGUCGGGUAAGUUCCGACCUGCACGAAUGGCGUAAUGAUGGCCAGGCUGUCUCCACCCGAGACUCAGUGAAAUUGAACUCGCUGUGAAGAUGCAGUGUACCCGCGGCAAGACGGAAAGACCCCGUGAACCUUUACUAUAGCUUGACACUGAACAUUGAGCCUUGAUGUGUAGGAUAGGUGGGAGGCUUUGAAGCGUGGACGCCAGUCUGCGUGGAGCCAACCUUGAAAUACCACCCUUUAAUGUUUGAUGUUCUAACGUUGGCCCCUGACCGGGGUUGCGGACAGUGUCUGGUGGGUAGUUUGACUGGGGCGGUCUCCUCCCAAAGCGUAACGGAGGAGCACGAAGGUUAGCUAAUCCUGGUCGGACAUCAGGAGGUUAGUGCAAUGGCAUAAGCUAGCUUGACUGCGAGCGUGACGGCGCGAGCAGGUGCGAAAGCAGGUCAUAGUGAUCCGGUGGUUCUGAAUGGAAGGGCCAUCGCUCAACGGAUAAAAGGUACUCCGGGGAUAACAGGCUGAUACCGCCCAAGAGUUCAUAUCGACGGCGGUGUUUGGCACCUCGAUGUCGGCUCAUCACAUCCUGGGGCUGAAGUAGGUCCCAAGGGUAUGGCUGUUCGCCAUUUAAAGUGGUACGCGAGCUGGGUUUAGAACGUCGUGAGACAGUUCGGUCCCUAUCUGCCGUGGGCGCUGGAGAAUUGAGGGGGGCUGCUCCUAGUACGAGAGGACCGGAGUGGACGCAUCACUGGUGUUCGGGUUGUCAUGCCAAUGGCACUGCCCGGUAGCUAAAUGCGGAAGAGAUAAGUGCUGAAAGCAUCUAAGCACGAAACUUGCCCCGAGAUGAGUUCUCCCUGAGACUUUAAGUCUCCUGAAGGAACGUUAAAGACGAUGACGUUGAUAGGCCGGGUGUGUAAGCGCAGCGAUGCGUUGAGCUAACCGGUACUAAUGAACCGUGAGGCUUAACCUU